UACGUAGGGGGCAAGCGUUGUCCGGAAUCAUUGGGCGUAAAGCGCGUGUAGGCGGCUCGAUAAGUCCGUUCUGAAAGUCCAGGGCUCAACCCUGGGAUGCGGAUGGAUACUGGCGAGCUCGAGUCCGGAAGAGGCAAGUGGAAUUCCUGGUGUAGCGGUGGAAUGCGCAGAUAUCAGGAGGAACACCUAUAGCGAAGGCAGCUUGCUGGGACGUUACUGACGCUAAGGCGCGAAAGCGUGGGGAGCGAACAGG
rnacentral:rRNA from 1 species